rnacentral:rRNA from 1 species
UACAGAGGGUGCGAGCGUUGUUCGGAAUUAUUGGGCGUAAAGGGCGCGUAGGCGGUGCGGUAAGUCACCUGUGAAAUCUCCUGGCUCAACUGGGAGCUUGCAGGCGAAACUGCCGUGCUGGAGUGUGGGAGAGGUGCGUGGAAUUCCUGGUGUAGCGGUGAAAUGCGUAGAGAUCCGGAGGAACACCGACGGCGCAGGCAGCGUCCUGGCCGCUUGCUGACACUGAGGCACGAAAGCUGGGGGAGCAAACAGG